rnacentral:rRNA from 1 species
AUAACUAUUGGAAACGAUGGCUAAUACCGCAUGAUGCCUACGGGCCAAAGAGGGGGACCUUCGGGCCUCUCGCGUCAAGAUAUGCCUAGGUGGGAUUAGCUAGUUGGUGAGGUAAUGGCUCACCAAGGCGACGAUCCCUAGCUGGUCUGAGAGGAUGAUCAGCCACACUGGAACUGAGACACGGUCCAGACUCCUACGGGAGGCAGCAGUGGGGAAUAUUGCACAAUGGGCGCAAGCCUGAUGCAGCCAUGCCGCGUGUAUGAAGAAGGCCUUCGGGUUGUAAAGUACUUUCAGCAGUGAGGAAGGGGGUGUCGUUAAUAGCGGCAUCUCUUGACGUUAGCUGCAGAAGAAGCACCGGCUAACUCCGUGCCAGCAGCCGCGGUAAUACGGAGGGUGCGAGCGUUAAUCGGAAUUACUGGGCGUAAAGCGCAUGCAGGUGGUUUGUUAAGUCAGAUGUGAAAGCCCGGGGCUCAACCUCGGAAUAGCAUUUGAAACUGGCAGACUAGAGUACUGUAGAGGGGGGUAGAAUUUCAGGUGUAGCGGUGAAAUGUGUAGAGGUCUGAAGGAAUACCGGUGGCGAAGGCGGCCCCCUGGACAGACACUGACACUCAGAUG